rnacentral:rRNA from 1 species
ACGUAGGGAGCAAGCGUUGUCCGGAAUUACUGGGUGUAAAGGGCGAGUAGGCGGGACAAAAAGUCAGAUGUGAAAACUAUGGGCUUAACCCAUAGCCUGCAUUUGAAACUUUUGUUCUUGAGAGAUGGAGAGGUAAGCGGAAUUCCUAGUGUAGCGGUGAAAUGCGUAGAUAUUAGGAGGAACACCAGUGGCGAAGGCGGCUUACUGGGCAUUUACUGACGCUGAGGCGCGAAAGCGUGGGGAGCGAACAG